rnacentral:tRNA from 1 species
GGAAGAAUGCACGAACGGUUAAGUGAGCAGACUGCUAAUCUGUAGUUUCGAAAGAGGCUCCUGGGUUCGAAUCCCAGUUCUUCCG